AUUGAACGCUGGCGGCAGGCCUAACACAUGCAAGUCGAACGAAGUCUUCGGACUUAGUGGCGGACGGGUGAGUAACACGUGGGAGCGUGCCUUUAGGUUCGGAAUAACUCAGGGAAACUUGUGCUAAUACCGAAUGUGCCCUUCGGGGGAAAGAUUUAUCGCCUUUAGAGCGGCCCGCGUCUGAUUAGCUAGUUAGUGAGGUAAAGGCUCACCAAGGCUACGAUCAGUAGCUGGUCUGAGAGGAUGACCAGCCACAUUGGGACUGAGACACGGCCCAAACUCCUACGGGAGGCAGCAGUGGGGAAUCUUGCGCAAUGGGCGAAAGCCUGACGCAGCCAUGCCGCGUGGAUGAUGAAGGUCUUAGGAUUGUAAAAUCCUUUCACCGGUGAAGAUAAUGACUGUAGCCGGAGAAGAAGCCCCGGCUAACUUCGUGCCAGCCGCCGCCGUAAGAC
rnacentral:rRNA from 1 species